ensembl:antisense
AUGGUUUAAUCUAAUCAUUCAGAUAUUUAUCAUACAAACAUCUGAAUGGGCUAAACAUUGAAGAAAAUUACCAAACCGUCGGUCCCAUAUAGUAACAAGUUGAUUGUCAAGCCCUAGAACAAUAAACCGUGUGCAGGAACUGACCGCAGAGCAAAGGAUUUCCUGGGAAUUGGGCCAUAAAACAUCUGGUCUGGGUUCAUUGUCUGAUUCAGGAACAAAUUCAGAUAUCCUUUAUAAACAUGAACAACCCAUUUGUUUCAUUUAUUAAUUAAUGCAGUAUAACUCUUAGUUGCUGGUGUACCUUUCUCUUUAGGGGCCUUCAACAGAAGAUAUUGUAAGAGAUUACGACUGCCAUUCCACCACAGGCACACAGAAGUGGGAGUAUCUUUAAAAAUAACCCAAAGAAAUAUUACAAAUGAAUAUUCAUAGGACAGGCUUUCACAGAAGCGAUUGUUCUGUAAAGUGUGAUUACACAUCGCAAAGGCCCGAUCUAUUUUUGAAAAACGUACAUGUGAAAUAAUCUCUUGAGUUCAUGACUCACCUCCAGCUGCCUUCACUUCCCCAGGCACUGAAUGAAAACCUUCAUUAAAUAAGAAGUGACAAGUACAGUUGCUGUAAUGGAACAAAAAAAAAAGGCAAACUGUAACCAUUUGUGCAAUGUGGGAAAAUAGCCUCAGAAAUUAUUUUUAUAAAGCUGCUUUUGACACCUUUCUCAUUUCUCAUUUGACACACUGCAUGCUUAUAUCUGAUUUUUUUUACAAUUCAUUCCGUCACAAUAUUUAAAACAUAGUCAAAAAUUAACUAAAUAAUAAAAAAAUAAAUUAGUAUAAUUGUUUACCUAAAACAAGGAAUUGAAUAAAACUACGGGUUUAACUAAAAAUUAGAAACAAAUAAUGAUAAAUGGGGAUGUUGAUGAAAUUUUUAAGUGCAACUAUUUAGAGUGACGUGGUGGUGCAGUGGGUAGUGCUGUCGCCUCACUGAAAGAAGGUCGCUGGUUUGAGCCUCAGCUGGGUCAGUUGGCAUUUCUGUGUAGAGUUUGCAUGUUCUCCCCGUGUUGGCGUGGGUUUCCCCCACAAGUCCAAAGGCAUGCGCUAUAGGUGAAUUGGGUAAGCUAAAUUAUCUGUAGUGUAUGUGUGUGAAUGGGAGUGUAUGGUUGUUUCCGAGUGAUGGGUUGCAGCAGUUAAAUAUAUGCUGGAUAAAAUGGGGGUUCAUUCUGCUGUGGAGACCCCUGAUCAAUAACUAAGCUGAAAAUGAAUGAACGAAUGAAUGAAUAUCUUCCCCUAAUAUGGGAAAAAUCUCAUUUUACAUUAUAAAAGAAACAUUGGAAAAUCAUAUGGGUUUGGAAUCACUCAUCAAAAUUUUUGGUUAAUCAGUUUUAUUUUAGGGUAAAGCAUUAUUAUUGUUAUUGAGAUUUGUAUUGAGGUAACUAGUUAAUAAUUGUGAGACAAAUCAGAUGCACAGAAAUUGUGUUGUAUAGCCCUGUAGAUGUGCCACACUUAAAAAACUUCUUUGCAUAUAAUACUUUAUAACUUAAUUCAUAAUUGUGAAAUACAUUUGAUAAAUAUUUAAAAAAUGAUAAUGAAAUACACCUUGAUAAUGUUGAAAAACAUUGAAUUAUAAUAGAAUACCAAGCAAAUGUUGUACCUAAUGUGAAAUGGUCUAGUCCAUGUGUCUUUACUGUGUUUGUUUAAAAGCUGCUAUAAAGAUUUUCAUACAUCUGUAAAGGCCAGUUCACAAUGCACCAAACUGACUAAUUCUAAGACUUUUGUUUUUGUUGACACUUUUGUUGUUGGAUCAGUGUGUUAUACCAAUAAAUUUCUGUUUGCGUUGGUC